AGGGGAUUCGGUGGACACCUACAGGACUUUUUUCCAGUAAACUAAAAUCGUGUUUUCCGGGUAUUUGUGUUAUCUGCUCACUUAGUUCUCCGUUGCCCUCAGUCGCGUCUCUGGUGGACCCGCGCCGCUGGUGCAGGUGUGUUCACCUCACUGCCUGGCGUCCCGUGCGGCCUCCUGCGCGUCAGGCACAGUACCCAGCACCUCCCUGCGGCGUCACGUCCUGCGACGUGAAUUAAAUCGGGUCUGCGUUCGAGGAGGCGUAAGAAGUCCUUCUGGAGCAGGUGGCCGUGGCCGUGGUGGGUCCGGCCGGCCCUGCAGUGCCCGGGGGAGGGGGCCAGCCUCGGGCUCCCCGACCUGUGCGCACCGCCCCCCUCCAGCCUCUCCAACAAGAGACUCACAGGCUCAUUCCACGUCCUUGCAGCCCCAGGGGGUUGCAGCCUGGCCGGGCCUUCGGGGAAUGCAGAUGCGCACUCAUCGCCUCAGGCAACUUCAAGAUCUAUAGAGUCACAGUCACAGCCUUACUAUCAUAAGAGCACGAACAGGGGCACCUGGGGGGCUCAGCGGUUGAGCGUCUGUCUUUGGCCCAGGGCGUGCGUGACCCCGGGGUCCCGGGAUCGAGUCCCGCGUCGGGCUCUCUGCAUGGAGCCUGCUUCUCCCUCUGCCUGGGUCUCUGCCUCUCUCUCUCUCUGUGUCUUUCAUGAAUAAAUAAAUAAAAAUAUUUUUUUAAAAAAGAAAAAGGAACAAUGCACAUUUCUGAUGUUAAAAAACGAGUGCCCCGAAUCAGGCUGAGCCCCCGCAGGGGCAACCCCCGCCAGCCAGCAUCCCCACGAAGGCCUCCUGUUCCACGUCCCUGUUUUACUUCCCCGCAGCGAGGCCCGAGGGCGGGGAGCUGUGGCGGGAGUCGCCCCGGGUCACACUCUGGAAGUUCACUCUUUCCACAUCUAAACACGGAGCAGCAAGACCACAGCACCGGGUCUGACAGACAAGAAAGUCUGUCAGGGCCGCCCCGGGCGGGACAAUGGGGUGAGCAGCCGGGUUUGCCCAAGGAAUGCAAAUCCGGGCCUAAGAAACCCAGCUGGGCGCCCGGCCAGGGAGCAGCACGUGAUGGGGAUGCAGACGCGUCUGGUCCCGAUUCCGAACUAGUGUGUCCCGAGGACACAGCUCUGCCAUCUGGGUGUUCUGCAAACGCCACCCGGCUUCCUCGGCUCCCUGGCUAUGACCCUCGGGGCCAGUGGCUGUGGGGCCCGGACCCGCACUCACCGUAGGGAGAGCUCACGGCGAGAGGAGAGCAUUCCUGGGCCCGAGACCCGUCCGGGGAGGACGCUUCGGAGGAAGACGCCAGCCCCAAGGGUCUGCACCCAGGGUCGGCUCCAACUCUUGGAUUCUUCUUCCGGCCUGGAUCCCCGAGUGACCCCAAACACCCAAGCUUCUGUUUAGCGCCCGGUGUCCCACUCCCGUUGCCCUUCCUCACUCACUGAGUGGUGAGACCCGUGACUCAGGAUUUGGGUGCACCCGGGGUGGGGGGGGUCAGCUCUGGUGCAGGACAGAGCUUCGGGCCCCAGAGUCGCUCAGCGCCUUUUCCCGAGGGCUUCGAUACAGGAAGUAUUUUUUGGUUAAAUGAAGAAGGUGAUUCCAACACUAAAACAUGUGCUGGAGAGAGAGAGACAGAGAACAAAGAUCCUAAGAGAGAUUUAAGAAAAUUGGGACUUGACCUGAAGUGUUGGGGAAACCUGCAGCCCGC
rnacentral:lncRNA from 12 species